rfam:Tupaia chinensis contig17913, whole genome shotgun sequence.
AAAAGCAGUACUGCCAGCUCUCACAUGCUAAAAUGGGAAUGAUACAGAGAAGAUGAGCAUGGUCCCUCCACAAGAAUGAGAUAUAAAUUAUGAAGUGUUCCACAUUAAA